UCACAUUUCAAAAACCUAUGGAUCUGGAUUUUUAAUAACUCGCUUUGUCAGUUCAGUUGUGUCACCGGUUAGCCUCCUCUCUCUUCUAUAAUUAUUUUUGGCGUUCUGCAAAUACAUUGGAGAAAUUGUUACUAAUGUUUGUUUCCCUUUAACAUUGUCCUCUUCCUACAGUUGCUUCAUUUGAGAAGGCUGAGGAAGUAGAGGAGUUCUUCGCAA
rnacentral:misc_RNA from 1 species